CAGAGGAAGCUUUAGGCGCGGCACCUUCUGAGUCCCCUGGAACGGGGCGCCAUAGAGGGUGAGAGCCCCGUAUAGUUGGAUGCCUAGCCUGUGUAAAGCUCCUUCGACGAGUCGAGUAGUUUGGGAAUGCUGCUCAAAAUGGGAGGUAAAUUUCUUCUAAAGCUAAAUACCGGCCAGAGACCGAUAGCGCACAAGUAGAGUGAUCGAAAGAUGAAAAGCACUUUGAAAAGAGGGUUAAAUAGCACGUGAAAUUGUUGAAAGGGAAGCGCUUGUGACCAGACUUGCGCCGGGCUGAUCAUCCGGUGUUCUCACCGGUGCACUCUGCCCGGCUCAGGCCAGCAUCGGCUCUCGCGGGGGGAUAAAGGCCCCGGGAACGUAGCUCCUCCGGGAGUGUUAUAGCCCGGGGUGUAAUGCCCUCGCGGGGACCGAGGUUCGCGCAUCUGCCAGGAUGCUGGCGUAAUGGUCACCAGCGACCCGUCUUGGAACAC
rnacentral:rRNA from 1 species